rnacentral:lncRNA from 1 species
UGCUGUACCAACACCAGAACGCGAGCUGAGCUGUUGAGUCAACGCCGCUGCUGGUCUGUGUGGUGAAACUCUAACGGCGUUUCCCUCAUAUGAUGCUCUGAAAAGGCUUUGCAUUCUAUUCAUUCGAACUUCGAAUAGUUCACGGUGAGACGGAAGAACAUAAUACUGUAUGUGCAGCACUGCUAUUUAAAGUGGCGCCGAUGACAACAAUCGUGAAUAUUGUUCUACUCAGUUAACGGAAUAUCCUUUCCCCUUCCCAUAACUCCGCGCAAUCAGUCUUUCUGAUGAAACCCUGUGGUUUGAUUGGGAGGGAAACCCCUGUCUACACUCUCUCCUCAUGAAGUCUCCUUCAUAUCCUCCUGUCUCCAUCUGUUGAGGACUAUCAUGAGCCUGUGUUGCUGUGUGUUGAAGAGUGUCCAGACAUUCCGUGUUUAUGAGUGGGGGAGAUGUUCCAGUGGGUGAGAACUUGCAGAACAGCCUCAAUUUGUUGGGGCAUGAACUCUACAAGACGUCGAAAGCAUUCCACAGGGAUACUGGCCCAUGUUGACUCCAAUGCUUCCCACAGUUGUGUCAAGUUGGCUGGAUCUCCAUUGGGUGGUGGACCAUUCUUGAUACACACAAGACACUGUUGAGCGUGAAAAACCCAGCAGCGUUACAGUUCUCAAUACAAACCGGUCCUCCUGGUACCUACUAACAGACCCUGUUCAAAGGCAC